GCGCCCGUAGCUCAGCUGGAUAGAGCGGCGGACUUCGGAUCCGUAGGUCGCGGGUUCAAAUCCUGCCGGGCGCGCCA
rnacentral:tRNA from 2 species